rnacentral:lncRNA from 1 species
CACCUUCCAGGUGGGAAGCAAGCGUGCCACCCUUUGCGCCACCUCCUCCCCCCAGGGCCCUUUUGCCCGGCGUGCCCGACACCUGAACAAAAUCACCAAAGGAAUCGUACUUUAACAGCGCGGCCGGAGGGGCCUUCCACCAGCCGUGCUCCAGACGGAACGCCCACGCGGGGCGCCAGCCGGAGUGUCCAGGCUCGGGAGUGUCCAGGCCUCCGCGGGCACGGACGCCCCCGGGCGCUGGCCAGUGUGCCCCGGGCCGGCCUGGGAGGGAGCCAGCUGCCGCACCAACCCGGCUCCGGCGAAGGCUCAGGGCUCAAGCCAGCCCCCGCCCCGCGGCCAGGGAGGCUUUCAGUUCCACAGGGAGUGUUAGGAGCAGGGCUCGCCACAGGAACCUGCACACUGAGCUGGUUGACACCUGCCCUGUCAAGUCUCCAUGAUGCUGGGUCCCGAGGGAGGCGAAGGAUUCGUGGUCAAGCUCCGUGGCUUGCCCUGGCCUUGCUCUAUUGAGGAUGUGCAGAAUUUCCUCUCCAACUGCUAAAUUCAAGAUGGAGUGUCAGGCUUUCAUUUCAUCUGCACCAGGGAAGGCAGAUGGAGUGGUGAGGCUUUUGUUGAACUCACAUCAGAAGAUUAUACCAAGUGGCCUUGAAAAAAGGACAGAGAAACCAGAG